rnacentral:lncRNA from 1 species
GUGGAAGGGAUCCUCCUAGCCGGAUUGCUGCAGCCUAAGCUGGGCACUGGCCGUAUCGAACCCCAGGAAGGGGAAGCGAACGCGUGGAAUUUCCGCAAACUGGACGAAAAUCCGUCUUCCACUGGAGCUGGAAAUAGACUUUGUAAAAGAUAUUAUGUAAUGGAGUCUUGGGAAGCCCGAGACGUCUCCAGCCAAACUGCUGGGCAAUAUAUUAAGAACUGGGAACCACUAAAGAUCUGAGCCUGGACAAGCAAUAAUAUGGAGGCCACUACCCAUCCUUCUUGAGACUCCAUAGGUAGACUUAGAAAUAGAAACGUGGUAAGAAAGAUUGACAGGCUUAAAAAGAACUAACUUAAAAUAAUCUGGCUGCAUGUAGUUCUUUGUCAUAGAAUUAAGUCAUAAGAGUAAAUAGGAUUCUUAAUUACAGUAACUAGUGGGCAAGUGAGAAACCUCCAAAGCUUUACCAGAUUAUCUGAGACUAGUAUUCAAGCUAGGGGUUCAGUCAAAACAUUUCUUUCCAGGAAUUCUGCAAGAUAUAAGGUGUCCAGAAGCUGAGGCAAUGCCAAUAUAUGAGAUUCUGUCAUCUUCAGGGACAAGACUAAGAGUAAAGAAAGAAGGUAGUUCUGCUUCACAUGAUUAACAAUUGGACAGCAAGUUAGAAUAUAGACUGGGCCCUGAAAGACAUUUAAAAAAUAUAUUAAGAAUCGGGGCUUAUAUGGAAUAUGAAUUAAUGCCUCAUUCUCUGAUAACCCUAAGCAUAUUCCAUUACCUGCUCUACAGCAUUCCAAAGCUUGUCUGAUUGUAGUGUUGAUUAUGUUAUAACACAAUUACUAAGCACCUCUUUAAACUCAGAUUGUCAGCCCAUUGGAGGGACCCACACUUAGACCAGGCAUGGAUUGUAAAAGAGAAUUCCACACAAAAAAGACACUUGAAUAUUUUGUCUGACUCAUCAUCUCUCUUAGUAAACAUCUCUAAACUAAGCAUGGGGAAGGCAUGGUUCAGGAAGGAAAGUGUCUUAUAGCCUG